rnacentral:rRNA from 1 species
UWUUGGGCGUAAGCGAGCGCAGGCGGUCUUUUAAGUCUAAUGUGAAAGCCUUCGGCUCAACCGAAGAAGUGCAUUGGAAACUGGGAGACUUGAGUGCAGAAGAGGACAGUGGAACUCCAUGUGUAGCGGUGAAAUGCGUAGAUAUAUGGAAGAACACCAGUGGCGAAGGCGGCUGUCUGGUCUGCAACUGACGCUGAGGCUCGAAAGCAUGGGUAGCGAACAGGAUUAGAUACCCUGGUAGUCCAUGCCGUAAACGAUGAUUACUAAGUGUUGGAGGGUUUCCGCCCUUCAGUGCUGCAGCUAACGCAUUAAGUAAUCCGCCUGGGGAGUACGACCGCAAGGUUGAAACUCAAAAGAAUUGACGGGGGCCCGCACAAGCGGUGGAGCAUGUGGUUUAAUUCGAAGCUACGCGAAGAACCUUACCAGGUCUUGACAUCUUCUGACAGUCUAAGAGAUUAGAGGUUCCCUUCGGGGACAGAAUGACAGGUGGUGCAUGGUUGUCGUCAGCUCGUGUCGUGAGAUGUUGGGUUAAGUCCCGCAACGAGCGCAACCCUUAUUACUAGUUGCCAGCAUUAAGUUGGGCACUCUAGUGAGACUGCCGGUGACAAACCGGAGGAAGGUGGGGACGACGUCAAAUCAUCAUGCCCCUUAUGACCUGGGCUACACACGUGCUACAAUGGAUGGUACAACGAGUCGCGAAACCGCGAGGUUAAGCUAAUCUCUUAAAACCAUUCUCAGUUCGGACUGUAGGCUGCAACUCGCCUACACGAAGUCGGAAUCGCUAGUAAUCGCGGAUCAGCAUGCCGCGGUGAAUACGUUCCCGGGCCUUGUACACACCGCCCGUCACACCAUGAGAGUUUGUAACACCCAAAGCCGGUGGGGUAACCUUUUAGGAGCUAGCCGUCUAAGUGGGACAGAUGAUAGGUGAGU